CACACACACAUUUGUGUGUUUAUGUAUGCAUAUAAUUUCUCUUAUAAAUGUAUAUAUGCUUUCAGAUAAUCAGAUCAUGCUACAACUAAAAAAAAACUUUAGCUACAGAAUGUCAGGGAAAGAGGGGGAGGCAUGCUUGGAGAAUCAUGUGCGGUGCAUACAAAAAAGGAGGGAUGUUAACAAUUCGAUGAAUUCCUUGCUGGUAGACCAGACUGAGCCAGACGAAUACAUUAACUGCUGUCUGCUGCUGCUGGGAGCCUGCUCACUGCGCUGGAAAUUAAGGGUCAUCUCGGUUCUAAUGCUAGCUAUCUAUUUGUACAUUUGAAUUUUCAAAAAGGAGAAAAUCGAUGCUUUUAUUCUAAUAUGUUAGUUUUUUUAUUUUGAUAUUCACUAUUCAUUAUUUUUAUCAUUUUAUUGUACAAUGAAAGAUUUUUUUUAUUGAUUUAACAAAGCUCUAGUCAGCAUUAUUUAAAAAUCCAUUUGUUUGUGUGCUUGAUUUAUAUCAAUAUAUAUUAUUCCUCUGUAAAUCAUUGCCAUCAACUAUAUUUUUCAUUGGAUUAAUCAGCACAUACUGUAGCCCUCUUCUAUAAAAAAAAAAAAAUUCCAUACAUUUUGGAUGAUGU